CCUACGGGCGGCAGCAGUGAGGAAUAUUGGUCAAUGGACGGAAGCCUGAACCAGCCAUGCCGCGUGCAGGAAGACGGACCUACGUAUUGUAAACCGCUUUUGUACGAGGGCAAACGCAGAUACGAGUCCCCGGAUGAAAGUAUCGUAAGAAUAAGGAUCGGCUAACUCCGUGCCAGCAGCCGCGGUAAUACGGAGGGUUCAAGCGUUAUCCGGAUUUAUUGGGUUUAAAGGGUGCGUAGGCGGUCAGAUAAGUUAGGGGUGAAAGCCCGAGGCUCAACUUCGGGAUUGCCUCUGAAACUGUUCGGCUGGAGUGUAGUUGCGGUAGGCGGAAUGUGUGGUGUAGCGGUGAAAUGCUUAGAGAUCAUGCAGAACACCGAUUGCGAAGGCAGCUUACCGGGCUACUACUGACGUUGAGGCACGAAGGCGUGGGGAGCGAACAGGAUUAGAUACCCGAGUAGUC
rnacentral:rRNA from 1 species